rnacentral:rRNA from 1 species
AACCUUGGCGGCGUGCUUACACAUGCAAGUCUUAACGAUGAUCCCAGCUUGCUGGGGGAUUAGUGGCGAACGGGUGAGUAACACGUGAGUAACCUGCCCUUGACUCUGGGAUAAGCCUGGGAAACUGGGUCUAAUACCGGAUAUGACUGUCUGACGCAUGUCAGGUGGUGGAAAGCUUUUGUGGUUUUGGAUGGACUCGCGGCCUAUCAGCUUGUUGGUGGGGUAAUGGCCUACCAAGGCGACGACGGGUAGCCGGCCUGAGAGGGUGACCGGCCACACUGGGACUGAGACACGGCCCAGACUCCUACGGGAGGCAGCAGUGGGGAAUAUUGCACAAUGGGCGCAAGCCUGAUGCAGCGACGCCGCGUGAGGGAUGACGGCCUUCGGGUUGUAAACCUCUUUCAGUAGGGAAGAAGCGAAAGUGACGGUACCUGCAGAAGAAGCGCCGGCUAACUACGUGCCAGCAGCCGCGGUAAUACGUAGGGCGCAAGCGUUAUCCGGAAUUAUUGGGCGUAAAGAGCUCGUAGGCGGUUUGUCGCGUCUGCUGUGAAAGACCGGGGCUCAACUCCGGUUCUGCAGUGGGUACGGGCAGACUAGAGUGCAGUAGGGGAGACUGGAAUUCCUGGUGUAGCGGUGAAAUGCGCAGAUAUCAGGAGGAACACCGAUGGCGAAGGCAGGUCUCUGGGCUGUAACUGACGCUGAGGAGCGAAAGCAUGGGGAGCGNGNCAGGAUUAGAUACCCUGGUAGUCCAUGCCGUAAACGUUGGGC